GAUGAACGCUAGCUACAGGCUUAACACAUGCAAGUCGAGGGACCGACGCACGGGUGAGUAACACGUAUCCAACCUGCCCUUUACUCUGGGAACGCCUUUCGAAAGAAAGAUUAAUACCCGAUAUAAAGGAUGGGUAUGCGUUCCAUUAGGUUGUUGGUGAGGUAACGGCUCACCAAGCCUUCGAUGGAGAGGGGUUCGGAGAGGAAGGUACCCCACAUUGGAACUGAGACACGGUCCAAACUCCUACGGGAGGCAGGAGUGAGUAAUAUUGGGCACGGGGCGCUAGCCUGAACCAGCCAAGUAGCGUGAAGGAUGAAGGCUUUGUGGUCGUAAAUUUCUUUUAUAGAAGAAUAUUUAUGAUCUGAAUAAGGAUCGGCUAACUCCGUGCCAGCAGCCGCGGUAAUAC
rnacentral:rRNA from 1 species